GACGAACGCUGGCGGCGUGCUUAACACAUGCAAGUCGAACGGAAAGGCCCUGCUUUUGUGGGGUACACGAGUGGCGAACGGGUGAGUAACACGUGAGUAACCUGCCCACAACUUUGGGAUAACGCUAGGAAACUGGUGCUAAUACUGGAUAUGUGCUCCUGCUGCAUGGUGGGGGUUGGAAAGCUCCGGCGGUUGUGGAUGGACUCGCGGCCUAUCAGCUUGUUGGUGGGGUAGUGGCCUACCAAGGCGGCGACGGGUAGCCGGCCUGAGAGGGUGACCGGCCACAUUGGGACUGAGAUACGGCCCAGACUCCUACGGGAGGCAGCAGUGGGGAAUAUUGCACAAUGGGCGCAAGCCUGAUGCAGCAACGCCGCGUGCGGGAUGACGGCCUUCGGGUUGUAAACCGCUUUCAGCAGGGACGAAGCUUUUUGUGACGGUACCUGCAGAAGAAGCACCGGCUAACUACGUG
rnacentral:rRNA from 1 species